rnacentral:sRNA from 1 species
AAUUAAAAAAAGACUGAAGACAACUCCUGUCUUCAGUCCAGGGAAAUGGCUCUGUUCAGAGCCAUGCGCUAAAAGUUGGCAUUAAUGCAGGCUUUGGGUGGUCUGCCAUUUAAAGAUAGUCGGAUUACGUAGAUUUUCCACCCU